CACCCAGAAAUACACCGUCAGGCCUGUCAUAAUUAAUCAAUUUUCAGGAUUCCUCAGGGUUUCCAAAUACAAUGACUACCAGCAAAUUAAUAGAUACUUUGGAUCAUCCCAUUUAACUUCAUCAAGGAACUGACCCCAUGAUGAAAAUGUAGUUUAAUUAGGAUAAUAGCUCAUAUUUAAAGCGUGCCUCCAAGCAAGGAAGCCCACAAAUUUGGUCUCUUAUUUUUCAAAGCAGCACCACAUGGCACUGAGAGCAACUUGGAGUGAGCAGGCAUGUUGAGGCCCACAUUAGGAUGAGAAGAGCUUGCUGCCUUUGACAGGGUGAUUUUAUUUGCAAUAUCAAGUUAUUCAAAGCCCAAGACCUGAGAUGCCUGAGGGAAAACUGUUCUCAAGUGCAAGCAGCUGAAUCUAAGGCAGGCCUGGAAUCUCCCAGGUCUGGCCUCACGGGUCCUCAGCCGGAUUCUAGAUCAAAGGGGCUUCAGUCGCCGCGUUUGUUUUCGACUCCUUCUCUUCCCUGAGCCUCAGAUCCACUGGACGCUUGCCCAUCUGUGCUGAGACCAGUGGGAGGUCAUUUUGGGAGCAAGGGUGUCUUGAGGUCACAUCCAAAGCACUGGUUUCUGUGUCUGGUAAAAUAACCAGAACGUUGUGUUUACCAACAUGAAUGCUGUUUCCAAGCCUCUCUGGACCAGAUCUGAGUUGAAGUCAAUGAUGACUUAGAAGAGGAUUGUAGAGGAACCAACCGAGUGAGCUCUCUGCUGAUGGCCUGGGAAAGCAGCAGUGGAUCUCCCAAGUGUUUGGGCCUCUGCACCCACGUGGGAGACCUGGAAGAAGCUCCUGGCUCCUGCCUCCUGGCUCCUGGCUUCAGUCUGGCCCAGCCCCAGUCAUCGCAGACUUUUGGGGAAUGAACCAGCAAAUGAAAGACAUCUCUCUCUCUCUCUCUCUCUCUCUCUCUCCCUCCCUCUCUCCCUCUCUCCCUCUCUCCCUCUCUCCCUCUCUCCCUGCCUUUCGAAGAAAAUGAAAAUAAAUUAAAAAUCUAAAAAAAAAAAAAGAAUUCUACCUGCCACAGCUGUGUCAAGACAAUCCAACCUCUAAACCUGCAUAGGUUCUGCCUCUGUGUUCCCUUGGUUGAUCAUCCACAUCUUCUAGUUCUAUCAUCACUACUUAAUACAACACUUUAAUCAACUUUUGCAAGAACCACAAUAAUAUUAUUAAAAAAAGAAAGAGAAUUUUAUAUUGUAGGACACAUUGUGGUGUC